rnacentral:rRNA from 1 species
GUUCUACCUUGACGAAUUGUAGUUUAAAGAAGUGUUUUCUGUUGGAGUUUUGGUAAAAGUUCUUUGGAAUAGGACAUCAUAGAGGGUGAGAAUCCCGUAUUUGACCAUUAUUUCCAGCUUUGUGAUACACUUUCAAAGAGUCGGAUUAUUUGGGAAUGCAGUCCAAAAUGGGUGGUAAAUUUCAUCUAAAGCUAAAUAUUGGCGAGAGACCGAUAGCGAACAAGUACCGUGAGGGAAAGAUGAAAAGAACUUUGAAAAGAGAGUUAAACAGUACGUGAAAUUGUCAAAAGGGAAGCGUUUGACACCAGUGUUGUUUUCUCGAAAAUCAAUUAAAAAGGACUGGAUUUUGUGUUGUAUUGACUUUAUCAGCUUUCUGCACUCUUUUCUUGUCUUUUUU